rnacentral:tRNA from 1 species
CUUUGGGUGCGAGAGGUCCCGAGUUCGAUUCUCGGAAUGCCCC